rnacentral:lncRNA from 1 species
AGUGUGUGUGUGUAGUGUGUGUGGUGUGUGUGUGUGUGUGUUGUGUGUGUGUGUGAGGUCUCUGGAAGGUCAUUACUGUGUCAUGGCCAGAGCUCGCUGCCCAACACGCUACACACUGCCAAGCUCUCAAGAUGAAGCCUUGGCAAAGCCCUCUGCCCUCUCCCCCUCUCUCCCUCCAUCUCUCUAUCGCUCUCUCUCCAUCCCCCUCUCUUCCUCCUCUGCCUCCCUCCCACUCCCUCCAUCUCUCUAUCGCUCUCUCUCCAUCCCCCUCUCUUCCUCCUCUGCCUCCCUCCCACUCCCUUCAUCUCUCUAUCGCUCUCUCU